UAGAGCUUAACCGUGAAAUCUUAUCUCCGUAGAAUCUCUAACUACUCAAAUUGAUAACCCUAUUGUGUGUCUCCCCUAUAAAUAUAGACAUAUACCUCAUACCUCAAGCUUUUUGCAAUCCCUCAAACACUCGUGAAAAACUAGAGAAAAUAGAACGGCAAUCGCCAAGGUUGGUUCCCAUCUACUUUCGGCUUCACCGAGACACCAUCAAACAACCUCGAUCACCACUGCGAAGAUAAACCCUUUACAGCCCUCACAACCCUCUACAACUACGGCCUUUCGGUUCCCAAAACCGCCAACUAACGAAGAGUACGUAGAAGGCUGAAGGAAGGUUUACUAGUACUUGUGUGCGGUUGUGAGACUAAGCUUAAUAAGGUAUGCGUGGCACGUCAUGAGCGACCGUUUCACAACAACUAGUAGCAAGUUAUUAAUAACGUAGAUCACCUAAAGACAAUCAGUUGGGUUUUAUUCAAUUCAGUUUGUAACGAUAUUUUGGGUAGU